rnacentral:rRNA from 1 species
CAGUCGCCGCGGGAAUACGGGGGGGGCAAGUGUUAUUCGGAAUGACUGGGCGUAAAGGGCACGUAGGCGGUGAAAAGGGUGGAAAGUGAAAGUCGCCAAAACACUGGCGGGGUGCUUUCUUGACCAUUUCACUUGAGUGAGAUAGGGGAGAGUGGAAUUUCGUGUGGAGGGAUCAAAUCCUAAGAUAUACGAAGGAACGCCAACCGCGAAGGCAGCUCUCUGGGUCCCCACUGACGCUGGGGUGCGAAAGCAUGGGGAGCAAACAGGAUCAGAUACCCCUGUAGUCCCUGUCUCUUAUACC